rnacentral:siRNA from 1 species
AGACAACGACUCUGAUUUCUUCC